rnacentral:misc_RNA from 1 species
UUUUGCGCUUUACUUUACUCCAUUCAGGUUGACGCUUUCAGCAGCUGUGAUGCUGAUGGCGAUUGUCCCGACAAUGCCGAAUGUAAUGGUCGCGGUGGCAGUGGCGGUGGCGAUGGCGAUGGCGGUGGUUCAUCGGAAUGUGAAUGUAAGGAAGGCUUCGAUGAGAUCGAUUUGCCGGAUAUUACAAUAGAUGGCCAAGCAGCGACAGUUUGUAUAGAUCUAGGCAUCUGCAGUCCAUUUGACAACGAAGUAGAUGACUGCGGAGAAAAUGGACAAUGUGUCAUUAUCCAGGAUAAGCAUGGAAUAUAUAAAGCUGUCUGUAAAUGCAAGUAUGGAUAUUUCGGCAAAUUCUGCGACGGUGAGUACCUUUAAAAUCAAGAAAUAACAGUUGCCUAGACUAUUACUUGGUUUGUGAAUUGUAUAUACUACCUUCUCGAUUAACCAUUUUAUAUAAGGAUUUGUGUUACUAAUGUUUGUUAAAAAAGACAACGGACGCAACAUUAACACCAGUGCCAAUCAAAGAUUUCAUUGUUUUUAAUUGUCCAGUUAAUACAGACUUAACACUAAAUAUAGUUUAAAAAAGACAAAGCAUGCAAGAGGAAAACCUAUUCACUGACUUUAAAAAGGUGAAGGAGUAUGAAGGAAAACAAUAUUAAUGUUUACAGAACUAAAAGCAAUGUACAUUUAUUGAAAAAAUCAAUCAAAAUAAAUGGUUAAUGCGUCUUUUAGUUGAUAAAGCUUAACCUUAUAUAUUAUGUUGUAACUUCAGAGGUUAUUGCAACUACUACCGUACAGAGCACGAUCAAUAAACCUAAAUUGUAACUGAAUGAUACCAGAAUUUUGACCUAUUUAAAAUCAAUCGUAGUUUAUAUACCACCUUCCCAAAAUGGCAUUGGUAAGAAUGAUAACAUUUUAAAACAGUCUUAUCUUCAAUUCAAAAACACGUGCCUCAAUGAAAUUUGACGUUAAGAAUAACAAACAGAAAAAGCAAUGGAAUGCAUUUAAAAAAAAGGAAAAUAAAUAUGUAUUAGUUACAUUUAUGUGUCAUUUAGUUAAGUAAGUUUUUCUAUCUAUAUCAUAUUUUUACUUCAGAAGUAAUCAAAACUACUUCAACACCAUAUUCAACGACUGGCACGACCAAGAAGCCUAAACCGUGGAUCCUUCUUGUCCACGAGGUCCUCAAGAUCCUCAACAAAAGAUUCUGAUUAUGUCACGACUGGAAAUUAUUUUGAAUAAAUUAUCGAUGCAGUU